rnacentral:rRNA from 1 species
GUCUGAUGCAGCCCGCGCGUGAGUGAUGAAGGUUCUUCGGAUCUGUAAAACUCUGUUGUUAGGGAAGAACAUGUAUCGUUCUAAUAGGGAGGUACCUUGACGGUACCUAACCAGAAACCCACGGCUAACUACGUGCCAGCAGCCGCGGUAAA